AGAGUUUGAUCCUGGCUCAGGAUAAACGCUGGCGGCGUGCAUAACACAUGCAAGUCGAACGAUGAACCUUAAUUGAUUUCUUCGGAAUGAAAUUAAGCGGAUUAGUGGCGAACGGGUGAGUAACACGUGAGUAACCUGCCUUACACAAGGGGAUAGCCUUUGGAAACGAAGAAUAAUACCCUAUAACGUCAAAAUAUCGCAUGAUAAAGUGACCAAAGAUUUAUCGGUGUAAGAUGGACUUGCGUCUGAUUAGCUAGUUGGUGAGAUAAAAGCCCACCAAGGCGACGAUCAGUAGCCGGCUUGAGAGAGUGUACGGCCACAUUGGGACUGAGACACGGCCCAAACUCCUACGGGAGGCAGCAGUGGGGAAUUUUGCACAAUGGGGGAAACCCUGAUGCAGCGACGCCGCGUGAUUUAGAAGGCCUUCGGGUUGUAAAAAUCUUUUUAUGGGAUGAAAAUGACAGUACCAUAAGAAUAAGGUCCGGCUAAAUACGUG
rnacentral:rRNA from 1 species